rnacentral:rRNA from 1 species
UGGGGAAUAUUGGACAAUGGGCGCAAGCCUGAUCCAGCCAUGCCGCGUGAGUGAAGAAGGCCUUAGGGUUGUAAAAACUCUUUCGCCGGGGAAGAUAAUGACGGUACCCGGAGAAGAAGCUCCGGCUAACUUCGUGCCAGCAGCCGCGGUAAUACGAAGGGAGCUAGCGUUGUUCGGAAUUACUGGGCGUAAAGCGCACGUAGGCGGACUUGUCAGUCAGGGGUGAAAUCCCAAGGCUCAACCUUGGAACUGCCUCCGAUACAGCAAGCCUAGAGAUCGGGAGAGGUGAGUGGAAUUCCUAGUGUAGAGGUGAAAUUCGUAGAUAUUAGGAAGAACACCAGUGGCGAAGGCGGCUCACUGGCCCGAUACUGACGCUGAGGUGCGAAAGCGUGGGGAGCAAACAGGAUUAGAUACCCACGUAGUCCCUGAGCGGGCUGGCAAGGCGCAU